rnacentral:tRNA from 1 species
GCCACCGUGGCUCAAUGGUAGAGCAUCGCUCUCGUAAAGCGAAGGUUGAGGGUUCAAGUCCCUUCGGUGGCU